UGCCUUUGUGUGCGGUUAGAUGAUGCUCGUC
rnacentral:piRNA from 1 species